UAGCAUAAUAAUUCGCUUUUUAAUUGGAAACUUGUAUGAAUGGUUGGACAAAGGAAAGGCUGUCUCUAUAGUAAAAAUUGAAGUUAACUUUUAAGUGAAAAGGCUUAAAUAAUCCAGGGGGACGAUAAGACCCUAUAAAGCUUUACAUGUUGAUUAAAUUUAGUUGAAUUGUUAAAUAAAAAUUUAAUUUGAUUGUUAUAUUUUAUUGGGGCGAUAUAAGUAUAAUUAUAUUAACUACUUAGUUGGAAUACAUUAGAUAAAUGUGUUAAAAUUAAAUGAUCCUUUUUAAAGAUUAAGAGACUAAGUUACUUUAGGGAUAACAGCGUUAUUUUUUUUAAGAGUCGCAUAUCGAAAAAAAAGUUUGCGACCUC
rnacentral:rRNA from 1 species